rnacentral:rRNA from 1 species
GAUGAACGCUGGCGGCGUGCCUAAUACAUGCAAGUCGAGCGAAUGGGUUAAGAGCUUGCUCUUAUGAAGUUAGCGGCGGACGGGUGAGUAACACGUGGGUAACCUGCCCAUAAGACUGGGAUAACUCCGGGAAACCGGGGCUAAUACCGGAUAACAUUGUGAACCGCAUGGUUCGAAAUUGAAAGGCGGCUUCGGCUGCCACUGAGGGAUGGACCCGCGUCGCAUUAGCUACUUGGUGAGGUAACGGCGCACCAAGGCAACGAUGCGUAGCCGACCUGAGGGGGUGAUCGGCCACACUGGGACUGAGACACGGCCCAGACUCCUACGGGAGGCAGCAGUAGGGAAUCUUCCGCAAUGGACGAAAGUCUGACGGAGCAACGCCGCGUGAGUGAUGAAGGCUUUCGGGUCGUAAAACUCUGUUGUUAGGGAAGAACAAGUGCUAGUUGAAUAAGCUGGCACCUUGACGGUACCUAACCAGAAAGCCACGGCUAACUACGUGCCAGCAGCCGCCGUAA